GACGAACGCUGGCGGCGUGCCUUAUACAUGCAAGUUGAGCGCUGAAGGUUGGUACUUUUACCGACUGGAUGAGCAGCGAAAGUGUGAGUAACGCGUGUGGAAUCUGGCUUUGAGCGGGGACAACAUUUGUAAACGAAUACUAAUACCGCAUCAAAACUGUAAACACAAGUUUUAAGUUUAAAAGAUGCAAUUGCAUCACUCAAAGAUGAUCCCGCGUUGUAUUAGCUAGUUGGUGCGGUAAAGGCUCACCAAGGCGAUGAUACAUAGCCGACCUGAGAGGGUGAACGGCCACAUUGGGAAUGAGACACGGCCCAAAAUCCUAAGGGAGGCAGCAGUAGGGAAUCUUCGGCAAUGGACGAAAGUCUGACCGAGCAACGCCGAGUGAGUGAAGAAGGUCUUCGGAUCGUAAAACUCUGUUGGUAGAGAAGAACGUUGGUGAGAGUGGAAAGCUCAUCAAGUGACGGUAACUACACAGAAAGGGACGGCUAACUACGUG
rnacentral:rRNA from 1 species